rnacentral:rRNA from 1 species
UACAGAGGGUGCGAGCGUUGUCCGGAAUCACUGGGCGUAAAGCGCGCGUAGGCGGUUUGAUAAGCGGAGUGUGAAAUCCCCGGGCUUAACCUGGGAACUGCAUUCCGAACUGUCGAGCUAGAGUAUGAGAGAGGGUGGCGGAAUUCCGAGUGUAGCGGUGAAAUGCGUAGAUAUUCGGAGGAACACCAGUGGCGAAGGCGGCCACCUGGAUCAAUACUGACGCUGAGGCGCGAAAGCGUGGGUAGCGAACAGG